rnacentral:rRNA from 1 species
GAGUUUGAUCAUGGCUCAGAACGGAACGCUGGCGGCAGUGCCUAACACACUGCAAGUCGAACGGGAUCCUGGCUUCGGUUCAGGUGAGAGUGGCGGACGGGUGAGUAACACGUGGGAAUCGUGGCCUUUUGGUUCGGGAUAACCGCGGGAAACUGCGGCUAAUACCGGAUGCUCCCGAGAGGGAAAAGAUUUAUCGCCAGAAGAGGAGCCCGCGUCCGGAUUAGGUAGUUGGUAGGGUAAUGGCCUACCAAGCCAACGAUCGGUAGCUGGUCUGAGAGGAUGAUCAGCCACACUGGGACUGAGAUACGGCCCAGGCUCCUACGGGAGGCAGCAGUGGGGAAUAUUGGACAAUGGGGGCAACCCUGAUCCAGCAAUGCCGCGUGAGUGAUGAAGGCCUUAGGGUUGUAAAGCUCUUUUGCCAGGGAGAUGAUGACUGUACCUGGAGAAUAAGCCCCGGCUAACUUCGUGCCAG